UGGGGAAUAUUGCACAAUGGGGGAAACCCUGAUGCAGCGACGCCGCGUGGAGGAAGAAGGUCUUCGGAUUGUAAACUCCUGUCCCAGGGGACGAUAAUGACGGUACCCUGGGAGGAAGCCACCGGCUAACUACGUGCCA
rnacentral:rRNA from 1 species